rnacentral:rRNA from 1 species
GUAGCAAGGGCGCCGUUGGUGAACCAGCGGAGGGAUCAUUACCGAGUUUCCAACUCACAACCCAUUGUGAACAUACCUAUGUUGCUUCGGCGGUUCCACGGCUCCGGCCGCGCCGCCGAAGGCCCAAAACUCUUGUAUUACCAUGUGUUUACUCUGAGUAUUCUUGAAAUAAAUCAAAACCUUCAACAACGGAUCUCUUGGCUCUGGCAUCGAUGAAGAACGCAGCGAAAUGCGAAAAGUAAUGUGAAUUGCAGAAUUCAGUGAAUCAUCGAAUCUUUGAACGCACAUUGCGCCCGCCAGUAUUCUGGCGGGCAUGCCUGUUCGAGCGUCAUUUCAACCCUCAAGCCCAGCUUGGUGUUGGGAGCUGCAGUCCUGCUGCACUCCCCAAAUACAUUGGCGGUCACGUCGAGCUUCCAUAGCGUAGUAAUUUACACAUCGUUACUGGUAAUCGUCGCGGCCACGCCGUUAAACCCCAACUUCUGAAUGUUGACCUCGGAUCAGGUAGGAAUACCCGCUGAACUUAAGCAUAUCAAUAAGCGGAGGAAAAGAAACCAACAGGGAUUGCCCCAGUAACGGC